CCUACGGGUGGCAGCAGUGGGGAAUAUUGGACAAUGGGCGAAAGCCUGAUCCAGCCAUGCCGCGUGUGUGAAGAAGGCCUUCGGGUUGUAAAGCACUUUCAGUGGGGAAGAAAGCCUUGGGGCUAAUACCCUCGAGGAAGGACAUCACCCACAGAAGAAGCACCGGCUAACUCCGUGCCAGCAGCCGCGGUAAUACGGAGGGUGCGAGCGUUAAUCGGAAUUACUGGGCGUAAAGCGCGCGUAGGCGGUCUGAUAAGCCGGUUGUGAAAGCCCCGGGCUCAACCUGGGAACGGCAUCCGGAACUGUCAGGCUAGAGUGCAGGAGAGGAAGGUAGAAUUCCCGGUGUAGCGGUGAAAUGCGUAGAGGUCGGGAGGAAUACCAGUGGCGAAGGCGGCCUUCUGGACUGACACUGACGCUGAGGUGCGAAAGCGUGGGUAGCAAACAGGAUUAGAUACCCCAGUAGUC
rnacentral:rRNA from 1 species